rnacentral:rRNA from 1 species
UACGUAGGUGGCAAGCGUUGUCCGGAUUUACUGGGUGUAAAGGGCGUGUAGCCGGGCUGACAAGUCAGAUGUGAAAUUCCGGGGCUCAACCCCGGACCUGCAUUUGAAACUGUUGGUCUUGAGUAUCGGAGAGGCAGGCGGAAUUCCUAGCGUAGCGGUGAAAUGCGUAGAUAUUAGGAGGAACACCAGUGGCGAAGGCGGCCUGCUGGACGACAACUGACGGUGAGGCGCGAAAGCGUGGGGAGCAAACAGG